GGCACGGGUUAAAAAAGGCCUAGUUGAUGGUAUCGGCGUAAAAGUGGUUAAGGGCAUGUUUAAACUAAAGCCAAAUGCUUACACGGCUGUUAUACGCAUCCGAAAGUAAGAAGCCCCCCUACGAAAGUGGCUUUAACCCACCUGACCCCACGAAAGCUGCGAAACAAACUGGGAUUAGAUACCCCACUAUGAUG
rnacentral:rRNA from 1 species